rnacentral:rRNA from 1 species
UACGUAGGUCCCGAGCGUUGUCCGGAUUUAUUGGGCGUAAAGCGAGCGCAGGUGGUUUAUUAAGUCUGGUGUAAAAGGCAGUGGCUCAACCAUUGUAUGCAUUGGAAACUGGUAGACUUGAGUGCAGGGGAGGAGAGUGGAAUUCCAUGUGUAGCGGUGAAAUGCGUAGAUAUAUGGAGGAACACCGGUGGCGAAAGCGGCUCUCUGGCCUGUAACUGACACUGAGGCUCGAAAGCGUGGGGAGCAAACAGG